AUACUUAUGUAAAUAAGGUACUUCUGGUUUUGUAUUUUUACUACAUUUGCAAAAAUGUCUAAACAUUGUGUAGAUUGAGGAAAUAAAAGUAAUUCAAAACAUUUUAGAAUAAGGCUGUAAUGUAUCAAAGUGGACAACAGAUGCACUGUGAUGAAAUAUAUACAGACACAGUGUUAUACAAAUGCACUGUGUCUGUAUACCUGAGUGUUUGUGAAUACAUCUACUGAUGUGUGUGUGGGUGUACAGACCAUUGACAAUAUGGCCUGUUUGUAUGGAGAAUUAUUUUCAUAGAUAUUGUAUUGGGGAUGUUUUCAAGCCGAUGAAAGGUACUACUGUAUAACUAACUAAUAAGAUGUAUUGAAGCCUUAUACAGCAUAUCGAGAGCUGAGGACUAGAAGGGUCUAUCUGCAAAAAGAUCAUUCUGAGAUAAUUGGCUUUUAAUUUCUGAACCCUCAUUGGUUUGAACGGUGUCGGCUAUUUUUUUAAAUCUUGUAUUCUUUGGAACUUAAUUCAUGAGUACCACAAUUCAUGUUGAGUACUAUAUACUUAGUGUAUUUAGAGUAUUAUAUACUUAGUGUAUUUAGAGUAUUAUAUACAUAGUGUGUGUAGAGAACAUUGUAUUUAGAGUACUAUGUAGUAUAUAUAGAGAACAUAGUAUUUAGAGUACUGUGUAGUAUAUGUGGAAAAUAUAGUAUUUAGAGUACUAAGUAUUUAGAGUACUGUGUAGUAUAUGUGGAAAAUAUAGUAUUUAGAGUACUAUGUAGUAUAUGUAGAGAACAUAGUAUUUAGAGUACUGUGUAGUAUAUGUGGAAAAUAUAGUAUUUAGAGUACUAUGUAGUAUAUGUAGAGAACAUUGUAUUUAGAGUAGUGUAUAUAUAGAGAACAUUGUAUUUAGAGUACUAUAUAGUAUAUGUAGAGAAUAUUGUAUUUAGAUUAGUAUAUAUAGAGAACAUUAUAUUUAGAGUACUAUAUAGUAUAUAUAGAAAACAUUGUAUUUAGAGUACUAUAUAUGUAGAGAACAUUGUAUUUAGUACUAUGUAGUAUAUGUAGAAAACAUUGUAUUUAGAGUAGUGUAUAUAUAGAGAACAAUGUAUUUAGAGUACUAGGUAGUAUAUGUAGAGAACAUUGUAUUUAGAGUACUAUGUAGUAUAUGUAGAGAACAUUGUAUUUAGAGUAGUGUAUAUAUAGAGAACAUCGUAUUUAGAGUAGUAUAUAUAUAGAGAACAUUGUAUUUAGAGUACUAUGUAGUAUAUGUAGAGAACAUUGUAUUUAGUACUAUGUAGUAUAUGUAGAGAACAUUGUAUUUAGAGUAGUGUAUAUAUAGAGAACAUUGUAUUUAGAGUACUAGGUAGUAUAUGUAGAGAACAUUGUAUUUAGAGUACUAGGUAGUAUAUGUAGAGAACAUUGUAUUUAGAGUACUGUAUAUAUAGAGAACAUUGUAUUUAGAGUGCUAGGUAGUAUAUGUAGAGAACAUUGUAUUUAGAGUACUAUGUAGUAUAUGUAGAGAACAUUGUAUUUAGAGUACUAGGUAGUAUAUGUAGAGAACAUUGUAUUUAGAGUACUAGGUAGAGAACAUUGUAUUUAGAGUACUAUGUAGUAUAUGUAGAGAACAUUGUAUUUAGAGUACUAGGUAGAGAACAUCGUAUUUAGAGUACUAUGUAGAGAACAUUGUAUUUAGAGUACUAGGUAGUACAUGUAGAGAACAUUGUAUUUAGAGUGCUAUGUAGUAUAUGUAGAGAACAUUGUAUUUAAAGUACUAGGUAGAGAACAUCGUAUUUAGAGUACUAGGUAGUAUAUGUAGAGAACAUUGUAUUUAGAGUACUAGGUAGUAUAUGUAGAUAGAACAUUGUAUUUAGAGUACUAGGUAGAGAACAUUGUAUUUAGAGUACUAGGUAGUAUAUGUAGAGAACAUCGUAUUUAAAGUACUAGGUAGAGAACAUCGUAUUUAGAGUACUAGGUAGUAUAUGUAGAGAACAUUGUAUUUAGAGUACUAGGUAGUAUAUGUAGAGAACAUUGUAUUUAGAGUACUAGGUAGAGAACAUUGUAUUUAGAGUGCCAGGUAGUAUAUGUAGAUAGAAUAUUGUAUUUAGAGUACUAUGUAGUAUAUGUAGAGAACAUUGUAUUUAGAGUACUAGGUAGUAUAUAUAGAGAACAUUGUAUUUAGAGUGCUAGGUAGUAUAUGUAGAUAGAACCUUGUAUUUAGAGUACUAUGUAGUAUAUGUAGAUAGAACCUUGUAUUUAGAGUACUAUGUAGUAUAUGUAGAGAACAUAGUAUUUAGAGUACUGUGUAGUAUAUGUGGAAAAUAUAGUAUUUAGAGUGCUAGGUAGUAUAUGUAGAUAGAACAUUGUAUUUAGAGUGCUAGGUAGAGAACAUUGUAUUUAGAGUACUAUGUAGUAUAUGUAGAUAGAACAUCGUAUUUAGAGUACUAGGUAGUAUUAGAGUACUGUAGUAUUUAGAGUACUGUAGUAGUAAUGUAGUAUAUGUAGAUAGAACCUUCUAGCCCCAACCUCUGCUAGCCCCAACCUUCUAGCCCCAACCUCUGGUAGUAUUAGAGUACUGUAGUAUUUAGAGUACUGUAGUAGUAAUGUAGUAUAUGUAGAUAGAACCUUCUAGCCCCAACCUCUGGUAGUAUUAGAGUACUGUAGUAUUUAGAGUACUGUAGUAGUAAUGUAGUAUAUGUAGAUAGAACCUUCUAGCCCCAACCUCUGGUAGUAUUAGAGUACUGUAGUAUUUAGAGUACUGUAGUAGUAAUGUAGUAUAUGUAGAUAGAACCUUCUAGCCCCAACCUCUGGUAGUAUUAGAGUACUGUAGUAUUUAGAGUACUGUAGUAGUAAUGUAGUAUAUGUAGAUAGAACCUUCUAGCCCCAACCUCUGCUGGUGUUUGUGACGCCUUUCAUAAUAUGACCUUUCAACUUUCUGCUCUACAGGGAAAAGCUCAUGGUAUGAAAGAGUCAGAAGUAUUUAAAACCUGCGUGGAGGAACUGUUCUUAUUACUGUCCCACCCCCCUGGGGCGGCAGGGUAGCCUAGUGGUUAGAGCGUUGGACUAGUAACCGGAAGGUUGCGAGUUCAAACCCCCGAGCUGACAAGGUACAAAUCUGUCGUUCUGCCCCUGAACAGGCAGUUAACCCACUGUUUCUAGGCCGUCAUUGAAAAUAAGAAUUUGUUUCUUAAUUAACUGACGAAGUCUGUAUCCUAAAUGGAACCCUGGAAAAGUGCGUCACUUCUGGUCAAAACUAGUGCACUAUAUAGUGUGCCACUUCUGGUCAAAUCUAGUGUACUAUAUAGUGUGCCACUUCUGGUCAAAUCUAGUGCUCUUUAUAGUGUGUCACUUCUGGUUAACACUAGUGCACUAUAUAGUGUGUCACUUCUGGUCAAAACUAGUGCACUAUAUAGUGUGCCACUUUUGGUCAAAUCUAGUGCACUAUAUAGUGUGUCACCUCUGGUCAAAUCUAGUGCACUAUAUAGUGUGCCACUAGGGACAGACACACCAAGGGUUAGGCAGGGUUGUGUAGUCUGUUAUUACAGAUGCUCAUCGUCUGUCUCUGCUUCUAACUGUUAUCCUGUCAGACACAGAUUAAACCCUAUUUCUGGAAUCUCUACUGAAAGUGCUUCUUAAUCCAGGAAUUGUCUUAAUCUGUGUCUGGGAAACUUGUCUGUUAUGGGUUAGAAUGGAAUUGGCCUUCCUGUGAAUUGUCUUACCUGGGAAGGCUAUUUUGAAUCACAACCCGGCACAGCCAGAAGAGGACUGGCCACCCCACAUAGCCUGGUUUCUUCCUAGGUUUUGGCCUUUCUAGGGAGUUUUUCCUAGCCAACGUGCUUCUACAUCUGCAUUUCUUGCUGUUUGGGGGUUUAGGCUGGGUUUCUGUACAGCACUUUGAGAUAUCAGCUGAUGUAAGAAAGGCUUUAUAAAUCAAUUUGAUUUGAUGUGAACUGAAAGUACUGGUUCACAAAAUUGUACAAAGUAUUCAGAACCCAGUAAAAAUGAGUCCUGGGUCUGUGAAAUUAGUUCUACCGCCAUCCUUUACUUUAAAUAUUGACUUUGUUGCAUGUUAACAGCCAACCAAUCAAGCUUCAUUUGACCUCUCCUGUAAUAACAUGGUAUAUUACGGAAUAGUUGGGUACGUGUGGAGAUUUGUUUGGAUUGAAAACACAAACCAAUGAUAAAAAAAAAAAUGAAACCAGAGAUUCUUGUUGGUACUGCAUUGGCUUUACUUGUGUUUAAAAUCACUGUCCGUCUCUGUCUGUGUCCCACAUGGACCCUAUUUCAUAUAGACCUGCGAUACCAGGGCACAUAAGACUUUGGUCAAAAGUAGUGUACUAUAUAGGGAAUUAGGCUUUGUCCCAAAUACACCACCUAUGUUUAUUGUUUGUCAUGUAACCAUAACAUGAUGAAAUCAAAUCUGCCCCUCAGACUGUGGUUGCUACACAUCAUUUACAAUUCAAUGCUAAAUCAUCUCUGUAGUAUAUGUUAUAGUAAUUAGCAACAUCAACAAGAAUUUAGUGUUGUUCAACUAUUUCUCACUUUAGUUGGAACUAAUGUUUGGGUGAGAAAUAUUUGGGGGAGGGAAACAUUUUUAUUUCUAAACAUAUUAAAAUAAUAGUAUAGUAUAUUUUAAAUGUCAGGGUACAUGCCAUUACAAAAAAAAAAAAACAUGUCAGAAACGGAAUGUAUUGCUUGACUGCUGGACACGUGAUACAACCAGACGCGUCAAACCUGUUGCGUUCCAGCGGAAGUCCUUCGUCGUCCGUGGAGCUGUCCGCAAAGACGGGCUGAAACGUUUUGCAUAGUUAGAUUUCGGGUAUAUGAAUUGCAUAUACGAUGAUUGUUAAACGUGUGGGUGAUGAACAGUUUCAGGCAGCGCUUGUGUUGUCCACUGUGAUGUGAUGCUGUGACCAACAUUGGCCUGGAUGCUUCCAACAUAGAAAAGGACGUUUUUAUUAAUUUAGUAGCCUGAGCUAAAUAAAAUGUUUUAAAAAUUG